AGAAGAAAUACAAACGAAUUUAAAUUUAUUUUUUUUUAUAACUAGUAUUGAAUGGAAGGGACAGCUUCAUUUGCUGUAGCUUCCACGAGUUGCAUGGUUUUACCAUGAACACGUACACCCAAUUGGGGAUACAUCUUAAUAAGUUGUGGGUGAACAAGUG
rnacentral:ribozyme from 15 species